rnacentral:tRNA from 1 species
CAGAAAAUAGUUUAGUGUAGAAUACUGGCUUUGGGUGUCAGUGGUGGGAGUUAGAAUCUCUCUUUUCUGG